rnacentral:rRNA from 1 species
AUUGAACGCUGGCGGCAGGCCUAACACAUGCAAGUCGAACGGUAACAGGAAACAGCUUGCUGUUUCGCUGACGAGUGGCGGACGGGUGAGUAAUGUCUGGGAAACUGCCUGAUGGAGGGGGAUAACUACUGGAAACGGUAGCUAAUACCGCAUAACGUCGCAAGACCAAAGAGGGGGACCCUUGGGCCUCUUGCCAUCGGAUGUGCCCAGAUGGGAUUAGCUUGUUGGUGGGGUAACGGCUCACCAAGGCGACGAUCCCUAGCUGGUCUGAGAGGAUGACCAGCCACACUGGAACUGAGACACGGUCCAGACUCCUACGGGAGGCAGCAGUGGGGAAUAUUGCACAAUGGGCGCAAGCCUGAUGCAGCCAUGCCGCGUGUAUGAAGAAGGCCUUCGGGUUGUAAAGUACUUUCAGCGGGGAGGAAGGGAGUAAAGUUAAUACCUUUGCUCAUUGACGUUACCCGCAGAAGAAGCACCGGCUAACUCCGUG